rnacentral:rRNA from 1 species
UAGCCUCUUAGCGGGGGAUAACUAUUGGAAACGAUAGCUAAUACCGCAUAAAAGUCGACAUUGCAUGAUGUUGACUUGAAAGGUGCAAAUGCAUCACUAAGAGAUGGACCUGCGUUGUAUUAGCUAGUUGGUGAGGUAACGGCUCACCAAGGCGACGAUACAUAGCCGACCUGAGAGGGUGAUCGGCCACACUGGGACUGAGACACGGCCCAG